UCCGGCGGCUGCAGAUUGCUGCAUGCCCAGGUGUUGGAAUCCUCCACAGUGAAGUACAGUCACACUUUACACGUUUAGCGUUAGCUGUCAACAGUUUAACUGUGUUUAAGCUAGCUACUAGGUAGCGGCAUGCUAACAUUGC